UUAAGUUCAGCGGGUAGUCCUACCUGAUUUGAGAUCAGAUCGUAAAGUGUGUUGUCCCGAAAGACGGUUGGAAGCGGCUCAUCAGCGGUCCUGGCCACCUUUUUUUACGGGUGUCCUCAGCGAGUGAUACUUAUCACGCCGAGUGGAACCAAGUCUACCGAGAUCCAGCUAAUGAUUUUAAGAGGAGCAGACGUGAAUCU
rnacentral:misc_RNA from 1 species